GGGGAAUAUUGGACAAUGGGCGAAAGCCUGAUCCAGCAAUGCCGCGUGUGUGAAGAAGGCCUUAGGGUUGUAAAGCACUUUCAGAGGGGAGGAAGGCAUUAGUUUUAAUAAAGCUGAUGAUUGACGUUACCCUCAGAAGAAGCACCGGCUAACUCUGUGCCAGCAGCCGCGGUAAUACAGGGGGUGCAAGCGUUAAUCGGAAUUACUGGGCGUAAAGGGUGUGUAGGUGGCAAGAUAAGUUAGAUGUGAAAUCCUCGGGCUUAACCUGAGAAUUGCGUUUAAUACUGUCUGGCUAGAGUACUGCAGAGGGCAGUGGAAUUUCCAGUGUAGCGGUGAAAUGCGUAGAUAUUGGAAGGAACAUCAGUGGCGAAGGCGACUGCCUGGAUAGAUACUGACACUGAGACACGAAAGCGUGGGUAGCAAAC
rnacentral:rRNA from 1 species